CGAAAAAACCGGUGCCAAAAAAACCAUACGAUCGAUCCCUCGUGCCCACAGCAGCGACCUCGAUCCCAUCCUUCAUUGCCGACUCCUCUCGAUCCCAUCUCUACUCCAAUACGAGCAGCCCUCGAGAUCCGAGGCUAUCCGCCGCCGCCGAGGACCGAUUGGAGCCGCCGCCGGCGCUGGCCUCCUGCCCUCGUUCGGCGCCGCCGCCGGCGUUGGCCUCCUGCCCUCCUUCGGUGUCGCCGCCGCUCCAUUCCUGAUGCCUUGCCCCUCUCUUUCCUCCAAGCUUGCCGCCGGCGACGAAGCGUACGGCACCGCCACGGCCGUGCUCGAUCGCCUCCAGGAACCCGGCACGCGCGCCGAGGCGAGGGACUCCUGGGCUCCUUCCAUCGCCGCUUUGCCGAUGACCCCGCCGCCGGGCAGGAGGAGUGCUUCCGCGCCUCCAGGAACCCGCCACGCGCAUCAAGGUGAGGCGCCUCCUGGGCUCCGCCCGUCGCCUACCUGCAAGGCCGCCCCCCUCCAGCAAAUCAAAUGUUGGUCCAACCCUCAAGGAUGAAAUAAACCUUCUGUACCUGAAGAAUUGUUUCCAUGGGUGAAGAAUCCUUUCCACCUGCAGAGGGUGCCGUGCGGGUUUCGCCGGUCUGUGGUCGGCUGCGAUGAAUUGGGCGUCCUGCUGUCUUUUCUUCGUGUGGGUGCUAUUUGUUCGUGUGGACGGAGGUACCCGUGCUGGGGUUCGUGUGGAUUUAAGAUUAGCCGGCAUGGUUGAUUGGGAUUAAGAUCGGACUAUUCCUAAACAUGCCAAAUGUUGCCUGGAUGAUUGGGAUUAAGAUUGACUAAUCCUAACCAUGCCAAUGUUGUGCUUGCAGUGCUUCUUUGGCACCGGCACAAUUCUGGUCGAGUACCUACUCUUCAGGUUUGUCUUCUUCAGCCUGUAGCUCGUAAACAUCAGAUGGCUGAUUUUUGGAUGAUGCGGGCGUGAAUGGGGAUUCCUAAAUUUGUGCUUCAGUAUCGAAUUAUUAUUGCUUAUACAUAGGUUCAGAAUAUGCGUCCAUUGCUCAGAAAAAAUGCAUUAUACAUCUAUCAUAUAUACAAUUUCGAAGGAUGAUUUUGUGAUCAAUUUCAUACCACAAGAAAUGAUCAAAAUGAGCAAUUAUCGACAUGGCUGAUGCUACCAAUGAUAGCCAUGUUCUUGGUUCUUACAAAAUUACUCGCGCUGAAGUAAUGUGUCUUUAUGUUGGUCCUUCAGUAUUUGUAAUGUUCUAUUUAAUUUAGUACUCUCUGAUUUGAAUUUCAUCCUUCUAACAAUCUUUCUAAUGUUUUCUCUUGCAUCAUAUAUGUGCAAUGCAUUAAAAUAUGGAUGACAUUGUCUUGCACUUUUAUUGUUAAAUGUUCAUUAUUUUUCUCAUUGCUAUGUAGACUCAUGAUUUUUCAGAACAUCAAUUUUCCUAGAGGUCUUGUUUUGGUUUGAAACCUGAGUCGUAAUGGAAAAGUGCCAUCUUGCUAGAACUGAUUCCCAUGCCCAACUAAUUAGCGCCAUCUUUAUAUAACACUCAUAAGCAAUUUUGGAAAUUGCUACAUUGCAUCUAGGUGACAUUGUUUUCCAUUAUCAAGCUGUAAAACCUUCAUACAGAGCGCAUAUAUAUGGUUUGGAGCCAUUAGUCUUGCAUAAAUUUGUUGCACAUACAUGGGAACUUGUUUUCUAUGAUCAGAAGCUAAUUCACUAAGAAUCUCUUCAGUUUUCUGGAAUCGCCUUGAGGAUGCAGACACCAAUUUUGCAGACAUCAAGUUCUAUGUGAUAACCAUCGAGAACAGCGAGCCAAAUAUGAUUCCUUCUUAAAUUAUCAAGUAUAUUAUGCAGAUUAACUCCAAUGUAAGAAGUUCAGGAAUCAAGAUGAACGGGCUUUCUACAAGUAAUUAAACUGAUGAUGAAUCAUUGUCUUGUCUUCAUUGUUAAGUACAUUUACAGGGUAUGAAAGAGAUAAAGAUGUAUUAUGUUGAUGUUCAGAAGGAAUCCAUUCGACAAGAAUGUUGACGUGAUGUUGUUGAAAGGGACUAAAAAAUCAUCGAGUUAUAUACAACAAUACAUAUAUAUAUAUACAAUCAGAACAAAAAUUAAAAGGCCCGUGGCAAGGCACGGGCAGUGUACUAGUCUCAUUAAAACCAUUCAGCUGCGCAUAAGGACGCUAGCUCGCGAUAGCCACGUCGGCGCUGGUCAUUUUGCAAAAACGACCUCGUAUUUUCCGUAUUCAACCCGCACUCCCGACUCGUCCCUCUCACUCUACUCCAUUCACUCCCCUCGCCUCGCAGCCGCCGCCGCCACGCUCCUCUCAGCUCUCGCCUCUCCCCCCGCCUCUCCGCCCUCGCCGCCGCGGGGCUCCUCUCAGCUCUCGCCUCUCUCCUUUCCCCUUGCUGUGUCGCCUCCCCUCGGCGCCGCCGCCUCGCCUUGCCUCGGGUCUCCGUUCCACCUAAUUUUUUUUUUAACUUUUUGCUCCAAGCCAGCGACGAAUCCCCGGAUCUGGCGUCAGCGAGGAAGGAUACGGUGGCUGCGAGGACGUACACGCCGGAUCCGGGCCAGCACAACCACCAGAUGGGGGCUGCGGCGGCUGGACACCUUCGAGGUGCUGCCGCGGGCAGGAGAAUAUCGCUGCAGCACCCUUCGCCGCUGCCAAGCUCCUGGCGCUGGUGGACGCGAGACCCCAAGUUGCCGUCCACCACGAGGUGCUGCUACGGGUAGGAGGAGCUGCUGCCGCACACCACUAAGUGAUGCUACGGGCAGGCGGAGGUGUGACCACGACGACGUACCAGACAAGGAGAGGCGCAGUGAAUGAGAAUGUUGGCUUAGAAAUUCAGAACAUCCAAGAAGUGGUCGGGGGACUGGUUUUGUGCUUCUCGGUGCCCUUCAUAAAGAACUUUCUCCCCGGAUUGUCUAUCAAAUCUCCAGUUGGAAAUAUCAGUCUACAGGCCCGUCUGAUAAAAUUAACCUUUAACAACCAACUGGAUGAUUAGCUGCUCCAUCAUGCUACAUACGCCUCUUUGUUGAGUGUUUUUCCCCGUUUUCUUGGAGAGUGCUACCUUUGCAAUGGUUUGGCCAUAAAUCUGUUGUCCGCACAAGUAGUACUGCUAAUUUGCCCUUUUUAAUGACGAUUUAUGCUUUCCGUACGCAAGUAUUUUAUUUGCAGUUUUGCAUUAGCCAAAUACUGAACUUCAGUGGGAGACAUUCACUGUUUUUCAGAUUUGAUGGAAAAACAAAAAAUAUGCCGCCAAUCGGCGUAAUUUUAUAACCGUUCUCGUCAUCUGAGUAACAUCUGAAAUGGCUAAUCUGAUCGGUUUUGCUGCUUGUGUAGAACCGACGACAAGCUUGUUGGCGGGCAUCUGGCAGGAUCGGUGAACAUCCUCUACAUGUACAAUACCAGCUCAGGCAAUUAUUAGAACUCUGUCAGUUAGUUAAGCUCUUGUGAUCAUUGAAAGGGAGGGGGGAUUAAGGUGUUUCCAUCAACAACCAUUUAUUGGUCGAGUGGACUCAGAACUGGAUUUGUACUGAAAAAUCAGGGUUGGCAUCAUGAUAACAAGCAUGGUCACCUUAAGUCUCAACUCUGAGCCUCCUCUUGGAAAAAAUGCCCGCAUUCCAAACAAGUCCAUUUACAGACUCUAAGCCUCCUCUAUGAGCACCAAGUAGACACUCUCUUUGCUAUGUUUUGGCACAAAGAGCCAGACAUCAAGUACUACGUGUGCACAAUCAACAAGACAUUUGCCAACCAGGCCAGCGCAUGUAUUUUCAGGUUAACUAUACUGAAGAGAACUUGCAGGACUACAUUGAUCCAAACAAUGAUACACUCAUGGUCAGACUUGCAGACCGCCAUCUGCUCGCCGAAUGUUGCAUCAUGCUAGGAAUGGACAAAAGGGCCACUAUAACCACCAACUGGCCUGAGUUUUGUCGCCGCGCCAACAUUCGCGAGGGAGACAUCUAUGCAUUUCGUUUCAGGAUAACUUCAAAGCGCCGCCUGGUCCUCACCGUGCACUACCUCUAGAUGCACCAUCGAAGAUGAUGCAGCCCCUGUGUCAAUAUAAUCUAGCACCAAGUACUCCUAAUUAUGUUAUAUCCUGUGAUAACCUAUCUGUUGCUUUUGGGUCCUCUUAUCACAUGCUUUUCAAGACACUAAACCUACGUUGCUGCUUAUGUUAAGUGCACUAUUGUCAGUCAGAUGUUUCAUCUUCAGAUCUAUAAUGAGCUUUCUCUGUAAAGUAUAUAUUUCUAUUUUUGCUGCUAAGUUUCUUAGCUAAAGCAAUUA